AGCAUGACGCCGUGGGAGGACAUCCUCCCGCGGCCAAAGGGGCGACCCGGUCACGGAUGGGCAUGCGGCGCAUUAGGUAGUUGGUGGGGCAACGGCCCACCAAGCCGACGAUGCGUAGGGGUUCUGAGAGGAAGGUCCCCCACAUUGGAACUGAGACACGGUCCAAACUCCUACGGGAGGCAGCAGUGAGGAAUAUUGGUCAAUGGCCGGAAGGCUGAACCAGCCAAGUCGCGUGAGGGAAUGAGGCCCUACGGGUCGUGAACCUCUUUUGCCGGGGAGCAAGGCCCUCCACGUGUGGAGGGAAGGAGAGUACCCGGAGAAAAAGCAUCGGCUAACUCCGUGCCAGCAGCCGCGGUAACACGGAGGAUGCGAGCGUUAUCCGGAUUUAUUGGGUUUAAAGGGUGCGUAGGCGGCGUUCCAAGUCAGCGGUAAAAUUGCGGGGCUCAACCCCGUAGAGCCGUUGAAACUGGCGCGCUCGAGUGGGCGAGAAGUAUGCGGAAUGCGUGGUGUAGCGGUGAAAUGCAUAGAUAUCACGCAGAACCCCGAUUGCGAAGGCAGCAUACCGGCGCCCCACUGACGCUGAGGCACGAAAGUGCGGGGAUCAAACAGGAUUAGAUACCCUGGUAGUCCGCACAGUAAACGAUGAAUGCUAGCUGUCCGGGGGGACUGACCCCUGGGUGGCACAGCGAAAGCGUUAAGCAUUCCACCUGGGGAGUACGCCGGCAACGGUGAAACUCAAAGGAAUUGACGG
rnacentral:rRNA from 1 species